UACGUAGGUGACAAGCGUUGUCCGGAUUUACUGGGCGUAAAGAGCGCGCAGGCGGUCGUUCAAGUCGAGUGUGAAAGCCCCCGGCUCAACUGGGGAGGGUCAUUCGAUACUGAUCGACUCGAAGGCAGGAGAGGGAAGUGGAAUUCCCGGUGUAGUGGUGAAAUGCGUAGAUAUGGGGAGGAACACCAGUGGCGAAGGCGACUACCUGGCCUGUUCUUGACGCUGAGGCGCGAAAGCUAGGGGAGCAAACGGG
rnacentral:rRNA from 1 species